UUAUCGUAGUCAAAGAAAUGUGAACCGUUAUCAAUAAUUUUCCUUUAAACGAUUAGUAUAUUUCAUGACUACUGAGAUUUCAAAAUUAAUUUGAAAUAUCUCAACUAUUGGAAGCAGACGUAAAAUUAACUGAUAAAAUUAUUUUCGACAAAGCUCAUGUUUACCUUUCAAGUUAAGAGUAACGUCACCUAAAUCCAUAUAGUUUAUCCAAAGGACAGAGAAAUCCGUCUGAAUUUGAUACUACAACGGUAGCGUACAUUUCACUAUAUUAAGAACACAUAAAAAACGAUUUAACUAAACGAAAUACACUAAAAAGUUUAUCGAGAACUUUUAACGCCGACUUAUCGGUUAAUACUGCAGUAAAUAUAUUGCACGAUUAUAUUGUUUCAAACUGACCGAAUGACUCAAAGCAUUAUGAUGGCAACUGAAUGAUGGGCCGUCCUUUGGGGAUGAGGCGUGGGGGAGAGGUAUACGGUGGCCAUUAAAAAAUUGCUAGCAGCUGUGGAACGUUGUAUAGGGGACGCCCCGAAUCCUUUUGGGAUUGCAAAACCGGUAUACACGAGUGAGGGUGACGAUCCAACGGGGUUGUUUGACGAAAAUGUCUACCGCAUUCGAAAGAUAACCGUUGGACAUUCAUUUUUUUGAUAACGUCUCUAUUGUUUAAAAUUGAAUAAGCUUAUUAGCUAUGCAUCGAAAUCACGAUCUAUAAAAAAGUAAACGGUAGCAUGUGCAUAAAGUUUUUUUUAUGCGAGAGUCAUAUGUGUCGACAGUUUAUGAUAUUGUUGAAUGAUUAAGAAGACACCAAGACCUCUUAAAAUGUUAAUUUAGUGCCCCUGCACAGUCAAUGGGCCCAUAAACAACAUCAUGAGCCUAUAAAAACAAGGUCGUAAAAGUGUCCCAGCCUUUUUUUUUUUUCGAAGGACAGAUAUUUUGAUUCCAUGUAUCUUAAACGGAAACGUCGUGUACGAGGUUCAGUAUUACUAAUCUUAUAUAAGAGUGCUCACCUCUUUGGUAUUUGUGUCUUUCGUCGAACGCAGUCUUGAAGUGUUUAGUGUUGUUUAUAUUUGAACCUAUAACAAAGGAUAAUACGUUAGGGGUUCAUAGAGUAAAGGAAAUGUUUUAAUGAUGCAAGCAGAAGUGUGAAGCUUUGAGGCGAUGAUGAUUAGCUGUUGUGUUGAUUAAUUAAAAGAGACACACCGUGAAACCCCGUAGCAUAUAUUUGUUUAAGUGUGUGUAUGUUGUGAAUAGUUAAAUGCGUUGGUGGAGUAUGGAUCAGCGACUAUGGCAGGACACGUCGUAUUUCAUUUUUAAUUGGACUGAGCUUGAUCCUACUUCAGUUUUUGUACAUAUAAUAUACACACUAUAGAACGUUUAUAUUAAAAAAAAUAAAUCCCUCAGGUCCGGUGUGGUUGUGGGAUCGAGUGGUGUGUGUGUGAGGUGAGACGAAUGAAAAAAUAAAACAAGAUAAAAUCUGUACACGCUAAGAAAAUAGAGACGGCGACAUCAGCGUUUGGCAAUCGAGAUAUUUAAAUAGAAGAACUUAUACGAGAAGCUGUAGUGGUCAAACGAUUUUGUCAACAGAAUAAAAAUAUAUAUGAUAAAUAUCAUCAUGGCAGAAGUGCUCCCGUAUGCCAACAUUUUUCUAUUUAUCUUUUUUUUUUAGCUUAGAUGCGAAACUGAGAAGGUAUUAAUUUUACUAUGAUGUGUUAUUGUAUUUAUUUUUUUUUUGGUGUCUGUGAAUGCUCAAUCUCAGCUCUCGCUCGACCGAUUUUGAUCUUUACCAGACCACAGAAAGGGUUUCAAAAUGGCAAAUUUUUCACAAAAAAUUUACUUUUUCAACUUAAUUUUUGAAAAUGUUCUAGAAAUACUGACACUUUUAUAUAUAUUUAAAAUUAAAGUUUAUUACAUAAACUUUAAUUUGAAAAAAAAAUUUGAUCACUGCAAUUGUCUUUAUGGUAAAAAUGACUACCGUAUGAAAAAAUAUGAUAUUUUUGUGAAAAAAUUUUUGAUAAUAAAUUUUACAUAUUUUAACAUUAUGUUUAAAACUUUUUAAUAAAUGCAUGAAUAAAUUCUUCAAUAAAGAUCAAGGAUCCCAUCACUGUAGUCGCCCCUUGUGAGAAGAAAUUUCUUAUUCAUAUUAAAAUUAUUUUACUAUAUUUUAGGUUUUAACUCCGAUGCAAAGCUGAGAAGAUAUUUUUUUGUGACUGUCAUUUAUAUUCUUCUUCUCCCACUUGACCUAAUUUUUUCAACGAUACGUCAAAUGAUUACAAUUCGUAUCUAGUUGAAGAUAUUACCCUCAAAAAUUCUAAUUUAUCAAUUAAAAAGUUGCUUAUCUCAUGUUCUCCUUACAGACAAUUAAAAUCAUUCAUU